UACGUAGGUGGCAAGCGUUGUCCGGAUUUAUUGGGUUUAAAGGGUGCGUAGGCGGCCCCAUAAGUCAGUGCUGAAAUAUCCCGGCUUAACCGGGAGGGUGGCAUUGAUACUGUGGGGCUUGAGUCGAGUUGAGGUUGGCGGAAUUGACGGUGUAGCGGUGAAAUGCUUAGAUAUCGUCAAGAACACCGAUAGUGAAGACAGCUAACUAAGCUCAAACUGACGCUGAGGCACGAAAGUGUGGGGAUCAAACAGGAUUAGAUACCCCGGUAGUCC
rnacentral:rRNA from 1 species